GUUUAGCGCGUUAGGGAUGGAAGCGGCAUCCUUUUGCUUUUUUUUAGCAAAAGAUAUAGCGUACAGCCCGACCUGAU
rfam:Winogradskyella psychrotolerans RS-3 Winogradskyella_psychrotolerans_contig_17, whole genome shotgun sequence.